UCUCAAUGGCCGUGUUCGCUUGAACC
rnacentral:piRNA from 1 species